rnacentral:rRNA from 1 species
UUUAGCAGAGAUGCUUUAGUGCCUUCGGGAACUCUGAGACAGGUGCUGCAUGGCUGUCGUCAGCUCGUGUUGUGAAAUGUUGGGUUAAGUCCCGCAACGAGCGCAACCCUUAUCCUUUGUUGCCAGCACGUAAUGGUGGGAACUCAAAGGAGACUGCCGGUGAUAAACCGGAGGAAGGUGGGGAUGACGUCAAGUCAUCAUGGCCCUUACGAGUAGGGCUACACACGUGCUACAAUGGCGCAUACAAAGAGAAGCGACCUCGCGAGAGCAAGCGGACCUCAUAAAGUGCGUCGUAGUCCGGAUUGGAGUCUGCAACUCGACUCCAUGAAGUCGGAAUCGCUAGUAAUCGUAAGUCAGAAUGUUACGGUGAAUACGUUCCCGGGCCUUGUACACACCGCCCGUCACACCAUGGGAGUGGGUUGCAAAAGAAGUAGAUAGCUUAACCUUCGGGAGGGCGUUUACCACUUUGUGAUUCAUGACUGGGGUGAAGUCGUAACAAGGUAAGCGUAGUGCU